GUCUUUUUGAAUUUAAUAUAAAGUCCAACCUGCCCAUUGAAAUAAUUUUAAAAGGCUGCAGUAUUUUGACUGUACAAAGGUAGCAUAAUCAUUAGUUUUUUAAUUGGAAACUUGUAUGAAUGGUUUAAUGAGAAAUUAACUUUUUUAUUUAAAAUAUUGAAUUUUAAUUUUUAGUUAAAAUGCUUAAAUAUAUUUAAAAGACGAGAAGACCCUAUAGAGUUUAAUAAAUACAUUUAUAUUAUUAUAAAGGUUUAAUUAUAGUAUUAUUAUAAAAUUUAUUUUGUUGGGGUGAUAAUAAAAUUUAAUUAACUUUUAUAUAUUUUUAAAACAUUAAUAUAUGAAUACUUGAUCCAAUUUUAUUGAUUGAAAAUUUAAAUUACCUUAGGGAUAACAGCGUAAUUUUUUUUUAAGUUCUUAUUAAUAAAAAAUUUUGCGACCUCGAUGUUGGAUUAAGAUAAAAUUUUAGGUGCAGCGGCUUAAAUGUUAAGUCUGUUCGACUUUUAAAUUCUU
rnacentral:rRNA from 1 species